CCCAGCUGUAGGCAACUGCCUAGGUUACCUGGUACACAGGCAAGUGUUACACUGCUGGGAGAGAAGCAGUCAGUAGCUGGUGAGCAUCCUGGGCCUGGUUACUUUCAAA
ensembl:snoRNA SNORA74 Small nucleolar RNA SNORA74